GCCCCUGUAGCUCAGUGGAUAGAGCAGCGGUUUCCUAAACCGCGUGUCGUGAGUUCGAGUCUCACCAGGGGUACCA
rnacentral:tRNA from 1 species